UACGGGGGGGGCAAGCGUUGUUCGGAAUUACUGGGCGUAAAGGGCUCGUAGGUGGCCAACUAAGUCAAUCGUGAAAAUCCCCUCGGCUUAACCGGGGAACUGCGUCUGAUACUGGAUGGCUUGAGUUUGGGAGAGGGACGCGGAAUUCCAGGUGUAGCGGUGAAAUGCGUAGAUAUUGGGAAGAACACCGAUGGCGAAGGCAGCCUCUGGACCGACACUGACGCUGAGGCGCGAAAAGCGUGGGGAGCAAACAGGG
rnacentral:rRNA from 1 species